rnacentral:rRNA from 1 species
UCUGGUCCUUUUGUGCCCGCAGCCGCGGUAAUACGGAAGGUCCGGGCGUUAUCCGGAUUUCUUGGGUUUAAAGGGAGCGUAGGCCGGAGAUUAAGCGUGUUGUGAAAUGUAGAUGCUCAACAUCUGAACUGCAGCGCGAACUGGUUUCCUUGAGUACGCACAAAGUGGGCGGAAUUCGUGGUGUAGCGGUGAAAUGCUUAGAUAUCACGAAGAACUCCGAUUGCGAAGGCAGCUCACUGGAGCGCAACUGACGCUGAAGCUCGAAAGUGCGGGUAUCGAACAGG